rnacentral:snRNA from 1 species
GAAGCUUCUCAGCCUUUUGGCUCAGAUUAGAUGUAAUAUCUGUUCUUAUCGGUUUAAUAUCUGAUAGACCACCUACCCAGGGACCAUAUAUUAAAUUGAUUUUUGGAACAGACAGAUGGAACGGAGCUUGUUCCAUCCACUCCCUGUGUCGACCUCCAGGCACAGUGCCU